rnacentral:lncRNA from 1 species
CACAAAGAUCUCUCUUACCGACAGUGCAAAUGUCUGGCCUCAGGUCUCCGGGUUUGGGCCAACUCUUAGGGAGUGGGGCUGCUGCUGCCCUGGCAAUCCUUUAUACCACAGUGGGAACAGCAGGCUGGACUAGAUAAGCCUUUGGUUUGAUCUAGCAGUGCUCUUCUUACAUCAAAGAGCACAUUUGUGUCUUCCAAAAAUCCCUCACAUCUGAAUAAGAAAUACAGUUUUUGAAGGAUUUGGAAUUCAUGAGCAUAUCUGUGGGAGAGCAGGAAGUGCCAUCCUCUACGGUUACUUAAGUACUGGUGAUUAAAGGAAGUUUUAGAACGAAGGUUAAAAACAACAACUUAAACCUUAAAAGGAGAAUAGUGUUAUUGAAAUAUACAUGAAUGUAUACGUAACUCAUAAUGACUUGCCAUCUGCUCAUAUAUAUUCAAACUGAAGCACAGCUACCAAAUCCCAACACACACAGAAUGGUGUAUCCAGAGAUAUGCCAUAGUUGAAGAGGCCUGGCCCCAAAAGAGCCCAUCUGCUAGCAGCAAGCUUCCUCUGCUUUCGAAUGAGAUCUCCUGCAUGGCUACUGAGAGAAACCAUCUCCACCUAUCUGGCCUGGCUGAAUCUAUAGAACAGUGCGGCAGAGAUUUUCUACGCCGUUUCCAGGCUGAUUUCUGUUUAGCUGCCACAAACAAUACAAUUUGAACUCUGCUUUGAUGUGAAAGAACUAAGAUGCAAAUUCUUCAUUCCGACUCUCGGUGGAUAUGUAUCAACACAGCUUUGUAUUGUGUGAU